rnacentral:lncRNA from 1 species
GGUCCUGGAACCAAUUCCUCAUGAUUACCAAGUGACAACAUGUAUACAGCGAUGCAGGACUUCUGGUGGCCACAUGUCAGUCAGAAGAAGACUAUGAGACUCUUGCAACAGUGGAGAAAACACAAUACUCUGAGGCCUUGGAAUAUGUUUCUUUUUAAAUGGCCCCACCAACCAGAAAAUCAGAUAUGGCAAAGAGGCACUGGCUCCUGAAUAUCUGUGCAAAUAAGCAGAAAGAAAAACAGAACAAACAAAACAUCGCUUACUACUAAUAAUAGGACAGCAUUAUUUCCACACAAGACUGAUGAAACACUGCAGUUACAAACUACUUUGUGUUUGUGUGUCUUGACUUUGUUGUUUGCUUUGUUUUUUUAAUCACCAUCUCCAUUCCGGGGGCCAUUUUUAUCAUAUAUCUCCAAGAAAUAUAUGGGUAUAAGCAUACAUAGAAACAGCAGGCAUCAAUUUCUAAAAACUCUGUGUCAACUUCACCUAAGUGAAGUUCUUUUCUUGCACUGAUGAGAAAAAUGUAAACAUCAAGUAUUAUGAAAAUAAUCUGUGGUAGAAAAGGAGACGACUAACAUGUUCUGAAUAAUUGAAGCACUGCCUUUCCUAAAUUUACUGACUAAAAAAUUGUGACAUUUUAG